rnacentral:rRNA from 1 species
CUUAUUUCUAGAGAUAGAAAGUUACUUCGGUACAUCGGUGACAGGUGGUGCAUGGUUGUCGUCAGCUCGUGUCGUGAGAUGUUGGGUUAAGUCCCGCAACGAACGCAACCCCUAUUGUUAGUUGCCAUCAUUCAGUUGGGCACUCUAGCGAGACUGCCGGUAAUAACCGGAGGAAGGUGGGGAUGACGUCAAAUCAUCAUGCCCUUAUGACCUGGGCUACACACGUGCUACAAUGGUUGGUACAACGAGUUGCGAGUCGGUGACGGCGAGCUAAUCUCUUAAAGCCAAUCUCAGUUCGGAUUGUAGGCUGCAACUCGCCUACAUGAAGUCGGAAUCGCUAGUAAUCGCGGAUCAGCACGCCGCGGUGAAUACGUUCCCGGGCCUU